CGGCCACUGAUGACCAGACCGCUGUGCAGUCUGAGUCCUGGGAACCAGGUGAUGGAGUACAUUGUAACAACAGACUGAGGCCG
rnacentral:snoRNA from 1 species